CAUGCCCUAAACGAUGUAUGCUUGGUGUUGGGAUUAAUUUCUCAGUGCCGAAGGUAACCCGUUAAGCAUACCACCUGGGGAGUACGAUCGCAAGGUUGAAACUCAAAGGAAUUGACGGGGGCCCGCACAAGCGGUGGAUCAUGUGGUUUAAUUCGAUGCAACGCGAAGAACCUUACCCGGGCUUGAACUGUAGAAAGUACGGAGAUGAAAGUCGAAGGACCCGUUGAAUCGGGAAUCUAUAGAGGUGC
rnacentral:rRNA from 1 species